rnacentral:rRNA from 1 species
AGUGAGCGCUGGCGGUAGGCCUAACACAUGCAAGUCGAACGGCAGCACAGUAAGAGCUUGCUCUUACGGGUGGCGAGUGGCGGACGGGUGAGGAAUACAUCGGAAUCUACUUUUUCGUGGGGGAUAACGUAGGGAAACUUACGCUAAUACCGCAUACGACCUACGGGUGAAAGCAGGGGAUCUUCGGACCUUGCGCGAUUGAAUGAGCCGAUGUCGGAUUAGCUAGUUGGCGGGGUAAAGGCCCACCAAGGCGACGAUCCGUAGCUGGUCUGAGAGGAUGAUCAGCCACACUGGAACUGAGACACGGUCCAGACUCCUACGGGAGGCAGCAGUGGGGAAUAUUGGACAAUGGGCGCAAGCCUGAUCCAGCCAUACCGCGUGGGUGAAGAAGGCCUUCGGGUCGUAAAGCCCUUUUGUUGGGAAAGAAAAGCAGCAGGUUAAUACCCCGCUGUUCUGACGGUACCCAAAGAAUAAGCACCGGCUAACUUCGUG